ensembl:snoRNA small nucleolar RNA, C/D box 57
CGGACGUGAUGCGAAACUGUCGGCCUGACCGCUCGCUGGAGGCAAAAAGCUGAUUUAAUGAGGCUGAUCC